CAGAAGAUGAAAAAUCUAAUUACCAAUCUUCUAUUGUUCACCAUGACCUGUUUAACUUUCAGUCACUUCCUCAAAGGUUACUGCAGUUUAGGUACAGGAAGAAAAAAAUCCGUCUGUGGAAUUUCCCUGUACAAGAUGCCAAAUGCUCAGUUGGGAAGGAGGCUUCUUCCCCCAGUCAGAAUUGUCUCCUCUGUACCUCAAGAACUUCCUGUAGGAAAUUUUUAGACUGCUGGUGGCAGCCCCAUGGAAUGAGUCAGCUCCUUGCUGCUUUCAGUCUGGUGAAUGAGAGGAUUCUGGAGGCAUAAUUUCCUUAUUACUGAAGCCCGGGUUUGACAAAAUUGUAGAAUUCACUGCUUUCUCAUAGAUAUAUGUGUCUAAUUGACAGAAAGAAAACACCAAAGCCUCGUGUGAAUCAGAAUUCCAGAAUCAUUAAGGAUGGAGAACAAACUCCAGGAUCAUCGAGUCCAACCCAUAAAUGACCCUGCCCAGAGCACUGAGUGCCAUAUCCAUUCA
rnacentral:lncRNA from 1 species